CACCGGCAGCUCAAGUGGUGGCCAUUUUUAUUGGGCCUAAAGCGUUCGUAGCCGGUUUGAUAAGUCUCUGGUGAAAUCUCACGGCUUAACCGUGAGAGUUGCUGGAGAUACUAUUAGGCUUGAGGCCGGGAGAGGCUGGAGGUACUCCCAGGGUAGGGGUGAAAUCCUAUAAUCCUGGGAGGACCACCUGUGGCGAAGGCGUCCAGCUGGAACGGACCUGACGGUGAGUAAUGAAAGCCAGGGGCGCGAACCGG
rnacentral:rRNA from 1 species